rnacentral:tRNA from 1 species
GAGGAUAUAGCUCAAGUGGUAGAGUGCAUGCCUAGCAUGCACAAGUCCUGGGUUCAAUCCCUAGUACUUCCU